rnacentral:rRNA from 1 species
UAUAGAGGGGGCAAGCGUUGUUCGGAAUUACUGGGCGUAAAGGGCGCGUAGGCGGCCCGCUAAGUCGAACGUGAAAUCCCCGAGCUCAACUCGGGAACUGCGUCCGAUACUGGCGGGCUUGAAUCCGGGAGAGGGAUGCGGAAUUCCAGGUGUAGCGGUGAAAUGCGUAGAUAUCUGGAGGAACACCGGUGGCGAAGGCGGCAUCCUGGACCGGCAUUGACGCUGAGGCGCGAAAGCUAGGGGAGCAAACGGG